CCACGAUGAGUUGAGGCGGACAACAGCUGUCCACCAGACAGCCAGCAAGGUUCCUGGAACCCAGCUCUCUGGGCUCAGGGCUCUGGCCCCCCCAGCUGCAGCCUCCCAGCUCCAAGCUGCCGGCUCUGCUGGAAGCUCCUACCUGCCUGCCUGCCUGACUGCCUGCUGGCCUUCCUGCCUUCCAGGACCCCACGACGAUGAGCAAGAGGAGAUGAGGGGGACCACAGCCAUCCAGCACACACCACAGCACAGCCAGAUGACCACCUGGGCUGGCUGUUGGUGUAGACCAUGAGCAUCUAUAGGCUCAGAUCCCAGAGCAUAUACUUUGUGCAGGGAAGGUUUCCCACGUGGCACUGCGGCUUAGGUCGGAGACUGGAGGCCACUGGGUUCCAUACCAAUCUCUGAUGGCUGCUGCUGGACACCAGUACCCUCUGAGGUGGUGCCAGGACCCUCGGAUGGCUAUAGAUAUGUAUCCUGCCCGUUUCUACUGUGCACGUGUGUGUGAGUGUGUGGGGGAUGCCUUGCCCCAGCAGGGCCCUCCUACAUGUUCGGGCCAAGGGGUCAGGAGAUUCGUAAGGAAGGCUAUGACCAAGGAAGGAGGCCAUCGGGGAGCACCAGGGGGCACCCGCACAGCUGACACACAAAUGGACGUGAGGGUCACAUGGACUGGUUCACCUGUCUGUGGCAAGUGAAGACAGAAGAACUGUACCGACACACAGAUGGGCACAUUUUCCUGGGGCCCAUGUCUUCGAGGAACCUGCAGCCUUGUCACCCUCUGUCUAUCUGUCUGAUCAGAAGGGAGUUACCUUGUUACCUGCCACCAAGGGUGCCAUAGCAAGCGGUGGCUGUGUCUGAUGACAGACAGGAGAGAGGUGGUGCCACGUGUUGUUGGCUGUCUCUGUCUUUGGGCUGCAUGUAGGGGAACUCAGGGUUGUGUGUGUAUAGGGCUGGGUCAGCAUCCAGUGUGUGCCAGGACUGGCCUGGGUCCUUCUGAGAGCAGGCACAGCCCCUGGAAUGAAUUCCUGCUGUUGGUCUUGCCUGCCUCCAUGGGGCCUCCAAUGUUGGGGUCUUUUCCCCCUACCCUUACCUUCAUCCUGGGCUCUGCAUAGAUCCUUCAGGCUCAUACGAUGGUCUGCAUCAUGCCCACUAGCUACCCUCCAGGGCUAACAAUGGAAGGUUGUUGGGGUCACAGAGCAGCCUGAUAUUGGCUCCUCCUCUGAGGUUGAGGAAAGAGCAGUGCCAGUACCCUCUAAAGGGACUGAAUCUCUCUGUAGAGCACAGCCUAGUGUGACCCAUAUAGUUCCACCCUCCAACUGGGAGGGGGACUGAAGACCUCUAGUUCUGAUGAGCCCACCCAUCACUGAUGAAUGUCAGAUUCUAAUUAAGUCACUUCCAGCAGGACUUCUAGAGCCAGGAGGUGGUUGUUGAGGAUUUGGGGAGCAGUGUAUUAAGUUGCGGGAGUGGCCCUGGGGGGGUUCAUGUUAGGUCUACCAGAGGGGUGAGGGUUAGAGAUCUGCUGGGAUUAGGGAGCCAGUGGCUUAGAGAAGCCCCUAUUCACAUGAACCCCCACCUCCUACUCCAUCCCCCACCCACCACAAAGGAAUGCCAGUUUAGAUGCUGGAUUAGAAUCAACCCCACCCUAGAGGAAGUUGCUGUGUUGUACCAAAAAGCAACUUGACAGUCUAGUUGAAUUGUUCCCCAUGGAAAAAUUUAUUGCAUUUCUCUUUUCCUAACGUAGCAUCCUGAAACAUGGAGAAAUCACUGGCUCACCUUAAAAGUCCCAUCAGAGCAGCAAAAGGAGCCAGCCAGCAGGGUGAACCACGCCCCUUCCCCAGGCCUGCCUCACACAGGAGACAAAAAUCAGCCCUCUUACUUCACCAAAGGAGGCGGGAGGAGAAAGGUGUCUGUCUGUCUGUCUGAUGCUGAGUGAAAAUCCAUGUCAACCUCUAGCUGAAUGUCAUUUCCAGUGGGAUACCUGUCUGCCUGUUUGGUUUGGUGGUUCUCAGAUCCAGAGAUCCGUGAAAAAACACAGAAAGAGUGUUCAGGCUUGGCUCCCUGGCUCCCAGCCUCCUGCGCUCACACUGGGCACUGAUGAGUGCAGGUUCACAACACAAACAUGCUCCCCCCGCAUCCACCCACACCCCAACUCUAACAACCCACACAGAUGUCCUGAUCAUCACCUAUAAAACUGGCAUAUGAAGCUCAGCUCGGCUCAGCACUGCACUGCUCUGCUUCACUUGGCUCUGCUCAGCUGGGCUCCAUAAACCCCACAUGUGUCUGUCUAUCCAUUUGCCCCCUGAUUGGACUGACUCCUAGAUCAUCAUCCAUGAACCCACUUGGGACCCGUUUCUCUCUGUUUGCUCUCUCUCUCUCUCUCUCUCUCUCUCUCUGUCUCUCUCUCUCUCUCUCUCUGCUUUUUGUCGUGCAAGGGGCCUUGCUUUUAGCUGUCUCUCAGCUGUCCUUGUGGCCCUAUGCCUUUUUUCACUCUCUCCUCCCUGCUUUUUCUCAGACCCUAACACCACACACACCCUUAUGCCUUGAUCUUCACCCGAGAGCCUAACACUCAGGGCUCAGCUGAGCUCUGCUGAUGCAUCCCAGAUCUACCUACUCCUCUUCCUGCCUGUCUGCUGGGAUUCCCACAUCUGUCCUACACAAACACCUUUGGAUCCUCUCUCCGAUCCCUCCCUGUUUUCAUCCCCAGUCCUGUCCCUUUUACCACCCAUCUGCACACUCUCUGUACCUUUCUCUGAGCCCUUAGACUCUUUCUGCCUCACUCUCUCUGUCUGUCUCUCUGUCUCUGUCACUGUCUCUGUCUCUGUCUGUUUCUCUGUCUUUCUCUGUCUCUGCUUUCCUCUGGCCUUUGCCUAGUUUGGGUUCUCUCUGGUUUUGUUUGCAGGGGGAGGAGCUGCAGUCUUUUUUCACUCUCUCGGGUUUUCUCCCUCCCUGGGCUGCUUUCAGUCUCUCUCUGCUUUCUUACCUUCCCCUGGGCUUUUUGGGGCUGGGUCUCAGUUGUUUGUGCAGCCUCACCCAUGUCUCUGUUAACUGGGGCCUUCCCCACUCUUUUACAGACCGUAACAUCACACAGACACACACACACACACACACACACACACACACACACACACACACACAUACACACACACACACCUAUGCCCUGAUCAUCAACCAUGAGCCUAACACACACAGCAGCUCAGCUCAGCUCAGCUCAGUGGAUUCUAAUCUAAGCCUCUGCCUGGGUCUUGCUGCUGGGAUUGCCCUGUCUGUCUUCAGUCCCUUUGCCUCUUUUGGAUCCCUCCCUCCAUCCCUCAUUCCCCAGUUUAUCCCCCCCCCUCCUUUCCCAUUUACCACUGGCUGGGCUGUCCCCUCUGUGCUAUUCUCCGGGGGGCCCUUUAACUCUUUGGACAUCUCUGUCUCUGGCUGUUUCUCCAUCUCUGUCUCUGUCUCUUUCUUUGCUUUUCUCAGGACCUCUGCUCUUUGAAGUUUUACAUUCUUGCCUUUUGGCUCUGGGCUCUGUGCUCUGGUUUCUGUGCUGUGGUCUCUGGGCUCUUGGAGGCUGGGCACAGAGUGGAGGGGACUGAGUGAGUGAGUGGGCUGCCUGGGAGUGGCAGACAGGAUGCAGGGAGUGGAGUAGGGUGGCAACAGGGUGUUGGUUCCGGAGGCUUAGCUAGAGGAGUGCUGGAUUAGGGCAGGCCAGUGGACCCCAGGCAGCUAGGGUUAGGAUGGCCUGGGUUAGAAUUAGCGCAGGGUUGCAGUUUAGCCAGCCUCUGGGCUUAACAGGCAGGGAUUUAGGGAGGCAAUGGGCUGCCACGCCCCAGCAGCCAUGCCACACCCCAGGCUGGAUUGGAUCUGCUGUGGGUUCAUGCACCAUGAAUUCCACAGCCUAGGUGAAAUUUUCCAAGUGGGAAAAGUCUGUCUGCUGACUGAACAUCGAAUUCUCCGAGGCUUUCCUGCUUCCUCUCAGCAUCCAAGGCCUCCGAGGUUCUCCUGUGUCCCUGAGUCCCUGGCUUUCUGAUUUCCAAGAUUGGGCAGAGUUCAGUCAAGGUUCCCUGCCUGGCUUUAAACCCUGCUUUCUCUGGGAUUUCUGGGUUCCCUGAGCUCCCUGGGUGCCCUGCCUCCUCUAUCCUCUCUGCCUCUUCUGGCUGCCCUGGCUGGCUUCCCCAGUCUCCCUCCUGGCUUCCCUGGCACCCCUUCUUCCCAGGCUCCCUGGGCUCCCUGGCUCCUCCUUGCCUUCCUUCCUGGUCCCUGGGUGCUGCUCUGCCUCCCCAGGCUUCUCCGCCUCCUCUGUCUGCCCUGGAUUGCCUCCCUGAUGUCCUUGCUUCCCGGGCCCCCUUCCUUCCCUGGCUGCUUGCCUUCCUCUGUGCUCCUGGCCUGGCUGCCAGCCUCCUUGCCUUCACCCAGGGGCAUCAGCACAGGCCACCCUCCCUCCUAGUCCUCACUGUCCACGUGGCCAUCCCAUUUUGGUGAUUCUCCCAUCCAGAGUUCUUUGGAGUACACCCUGCUGAUCCCCACUCGCUGAUGGCUCUCUGCCCUCUCAGCCCUAAUCCCUAAUCAGCCCCAUAUUCUUUUCCACUUUUUUAAAAUGAAAAUCCUGGGGGCUGGGUGUUUAACUCAGCGGCAUAAACACCUGCCUUGCAAGCAGGGGGUCCUGAAUUCGAUCCCCGGUACAGAUAAAAAUGAAAAAGACCAAGAAAAAAAAAUGAAAUGAAAACCCUGCCUCUGAAAUCCUGAGUCCACCCCAUAAUGCCAUCCUCCUCCUCAGCCAAUGAGCGAGCCAGGAAGUGAGUGAAGGGAAAGGGGACUUCCGGGACACCAGGGUGGUGCCACAGGAGGAGAUGAAAGGAUUAGGGGCCAGGUUGAUGGGAUCUGCAGCCAGCAUGGAGGGAUUAGCUGGGCUGCACGGGCGUGGCCAGAUCUUGGGCUCCUGGGCUCCAGGGUUUCCCAUGCAUUCUCCCUGACUGACCUCAAGCCUUAACAAGCUCAGGCACCAGACACCAUGCAGCAGGAGUUAACCAGCCCACACAGCCAGACCUCUGGCUGGCCCUCCAGAGCUCCCCUUCCCUGCUUUCUCUCUCCAUUCCCCUCCAGGUUCCCAGGACCCCUCUUGCUGGCCCAGCUCCUGGCUCCCAGCUCUCCCAGGAGCUCUGCCUGCUUGCCUGGCUACCUGCCUGACUUCAGGGACCCCAUGACAAUGCGGACCAAGAAGAGAUGGGGACAACAGCCAUCUGCCAUGCAUCGAGUGAGGUUCCUGGGACUUGGCACUCCCAGCUCCUGGAUCCUGGCUCACCAUGCAUCUCCUCCCACCUGCCAGCCUGCCUGCCCUCCAGGACCCCGUGAUGAUGCGGGCCACGAUGAGUUGAGGCGGACAACAGCUGUCCACCAGACAGCCAGCAAGGUUCCUGGAACCCAGCUCUCUGGGCUCAGGGCUCUGGCCCCCCCAGCUGCAGCCUCCCAGCUCCAAGCUGCCGGCUCUGCUGGAAGCUCCUACCUGCCUGCCUGCCUGACUGCCUGCUGGCCUUCCUGCCUUCCAGGACCCCACGACGAUGAGCAAGAGGAGAUGAGGGGGACCACAGCCAUCCAGCACACACCACAGCACAGCCAGAUGACCACCUGGGCUGGCUGUUGGUGUAGACCAUGAGCAUCUAUAGGCUCAGAUCCCAGAGCAUAUACUUUGUGCAGGGAAGGUUUCCCACGUGGCACUGCGGCUUAGGUCGGAGACUGGAGGCCACUGGGUUCCAUACCAAUCUCUGAUGGCUGCUGCUGGACACCAGUACCCUCUGAGGUGGUGCCAGGACCCUCGGAUGGCUAUAGAUAUGUAUCCUGCCCGUUUCUACUGUGCACGUGUGUGUGAGUGUGUGGGGGAUGCCUUGCCCCAGCAGGGCCCUCCUACAUGUUCGGGCCAAGGGGUCAGGAGAUUCGUAAGGAAGGCUAUGACCAAGGAAGGAGGCCAUCGGGGAGCACCAGGGGGCACCCGCACAGCUGACACACAAAUGGACGUGAGGGUCACAUGGACUGGUUCACCUGUCUGUGGCAAGUGAAGACAGAAGAACUGUACCGACACACAGAUGGGCACAUUUUCCUGGGGCCCAUGUCUUCGAGGAACCUGCAGCCUUGUCACCCUCUGUCUAUCUGUCUGAUCAGAAGGGAGUUACCUUGUUACCUGCCACCAAGGGUGCCAUAGCAAGCGGUGGCUGUGUCUGAUGACAGACAGGAGAGAGGUGGUGCCACGUGUUGUUGGCUGUCUCUGUCUUUGGGCUGCAUGUAGGGGAACUCAGGGUUGUGUGUGUAUAGGGCUGGGUCAGCAUCCAGUGUGUGCCAGGACUGGCCUGGGUCCUUCUGAGAGCAGGCACAGCCCCUGGAAUGAAUUCCUGCUGUUGGUCUUGCCUGCCUCCAUGGGGCCUCCAAUGUUGGGGUCUUUUCCCCCUACCCUUACCUUCAUCCUGGGCUCUGCAUAGAUCCUUCAGGCUCAUACGAUGGUCUGCAUCAUGCCCACUAGCUACCCUCCAGGGCUAACAAUGGAAGGUUGUUGGGGUCACAGAGCAGCCUGAUAUUGGCUCCUCCUCUGAGGUUGAGGAAAGAGCAGUGCCAGUACCCUCUAAAGGGACUGAAUCUCUCUGUAGAGCACAGCCUAGUGUGACCCAUAUAGUUCCACCCUCCAACUAGGAGGGGGACUGAAGACCUCUAGUUCUGAUGAGCCCACCCAUCACUGAUGAAUGUCAGAUUCUAAUUAAGUCACUUCCAGCAGGACUUCUAGAGCCAGGAGGUGGUUGUUGAGGAUUUGGGGAGCAGUGUAUUAAGUUGCGGGAGUGGCCCUGGGGGGUUCAUGUUAGGUCUACCAGAGGGGUGAGGGUUAGAGAUCUGCUGGGAUUAGGGAGCCAGUGGCUUAGAGAAGCCCCUAUUCACAUGAACCCCCACCUCCUACUCCAUCCCCCACCCACCACAAAGGAAUGCCAGCUUAGAGGCUGGAUUAGAAACACCCCCACCUAGAGAGGAAGUUGCUGUGUUGUACCAAAAAGCAACUUGACAGUCUAGUUGAAUUGUUCCCCAUGGAAAAAUUUAUUGCAUUUCUCUUUUCCUAACGUAGCAUCCUGAAACAUGGAGAAAUCACUGGCUCACCUUAAAAGUCCCAUCAGAGCAGCAAAAGGAGCCAGCCAGCAGGGUGAACCACGCCCCUUCCCCAGGCCUGCCUCACACAGGAGACAAAAAUCAGCCCUCUUACUUCACCAAAGGAGGCGGGAGGAGAAAGGUGUCUGUCUGUCUGUCUGAUGCUGAGUGAAAAUCCAUGUCAAACUCUAGCUGAAUGUCAUUUCCAGUGGGAUACCUGUCUGCCUGUUUGGUUUGGUGGUUCUCAGAUCCAGAGAUCCGUGAAAAAACACAGAAAGAGUGUUCAGGCUUGGCUCCCUGGCUCCCAGCCUCCUGCGCUCACACUGGGCACUGAUGAGUGCAGGUUCACAACACAAACAUGCUCCCCCCGCAUCCACCCACACCCCAACUCUAACAACCCACACAGAUGUCCUGAUCAUCACCUAUAAAACUGGCAUAUGAAGCUCAGCUCGGCUCAGCACUGCACUGCUCUGCUUCACUUGGCUCUGCUCAGCUGGGCUCCAUAAACCCCACAUGUGUCUGUCUAUCCAUUUGCCCCCUGAUUGGACUGACUCCUAGAUCAUCAUCCAUGAACCCACUUGGGACCCGUUUCUCUCUGUUUGCUCUCUCUCUCUCUCUCUCUGUCUCUCUCUCUCUCUCUCUCUGCUUUUUGUCGUGCAAGGGGCCUUGCUUUUAGCUGUCUCUCAGCUGUCCUUGUGGCCCUAUGCCUUUUUUCACUCUCUCCUCCCUGCUUUUUCUCAGACCCUAACACCACACACACCCUUAUGCCUUGAUCUUCACCCGAGAGCCUAACACUCAGGGCUCAGCUGAGCUCUGCUGAUGGAUCCCAGAUCUACCUACUCCUCUUCCUGCCUGUCUGCUGGGAUUCCCACAUCUGUCCUACACAAACACCUUUGGAUCCUCUCUCCGAUCCCUCCCUGUUUUCAUCCCCAGUCCUGUCCCUUUUACCACCCAUCUGCACACUCUCUGUACCUUUCUCUGAGCCCUUAGACUCUUUCUGCCUCACUCUCUCUGUCUGUCUCUCUGUCUCUGUCACUGUCUCUGUCUCUGUCUGUUUCUCUGUCUUUCUCUGUCUCUGCUUUCCUCUGGCCUUUGCCUAGUUUGGGUUCUCUCUGGUUUUGUUUGCAGGGGGAGGAGCUGCAGUCUUUUUUCACUCUCUCGGGUUUUCUCCCUCCCUGGGCUGCUUUCAGUCUCUCUCUGCUUUCUUACCUUCCCCUGGGCUUUUUGGGGCUGGGUCUCAGUUGUUUGUGCAGCCUCACCCAUGUCUCUGUUAACUGGGGCCUUCCCCACUCUUUUACAGACCGUAACAUCACACAG